rnacentral:rRNA from 1 species
CCUACGGGAGGCAGCAGUGGGGAAUAUUGGGCAAUGGGCGCAAGCCUGACCCAGCAAUGCCGCGUGAAGGAAGAAGGCUUUCGGGUUGUAAACUUCUUUGACAGGGGAAGAGCAGAAGACGGUACCCUGAAAACAAGCCACGGCUAACUACGUGCCUGCAGCCGCGGUAAUACGUAGGGGGCGAGCGUUGUCCGGAAUCACUGGGCGUAAAGGGCGCGUAGGCGGUAAUAUAAGUCAGAUGUGAAAGGUGGGGGCUCAACCCCUAGAGUGCAACUGAUACUGUAUAACUUGAGUGUGAGAGAGGGAAGCGGAAUUCCUAGUGUAGCGGUGAAAUGCGUAGAUAUUAGGAGGAACACCAGUGGCGAAGGCGGCUUUCUGGCUCAUAACUGACGCUGAGGCGCGAAAGCGUGGGGAGCAAACAGGAUUAGAUACCCCUGUAGUC